rnacentral:piRNA from 1 species
UUAACCUCAGGGCCCCUGAGACUAUCC